UGGGGAAUAUUGGGGCAAUGGGCGCAAGCCUGACCCAGCAACGCCGCGUGAAGGAAGAAGGCUUUCGGGUUGUAAACUUCUUUUAUCAGGGACGAAACAAAUGACGGUACCUGAAGAAUAAGCCACGGCUAACUACGUGCCAGCAGCCGCGGUAAUACGUAGGUGGCGAGCGUUAUCCGGAUUUACUGGGUGUAAAGGGCGCGUAGGCGGGAAGGUAAGUCAGAUGUGAAAUCUAUGGGCUUAACCCAUAAACUGCAUUUGAAACUGUUUUCUUGAGUGAUGGAGAGGCAAGCGGAAUUCCUAGUGUAGCGGUGAAAUGCGUAGAUAUUAGGAGGAACACCAGUGGCGAAGGCGGCUUGCUGGACAUUAACUGACGCUGAGGCGCGAAAGCGUGGGGAGCAAACAGGAUUAGAUACCCUGGUAGU
rnacentral:rRNA from 1 species